UUAGAGUUUGAUCCUGGCUCAGGAUGAACGCUAGCGGCAGGCUUAACACAUGCAAGUCGAGGGGCAGCGAGAUCAGUGCUUGCACUGAUUGUCGGCGACCGGCGCACGGGUGCGUAACGCGUAUGCAACCUACCCAUUACAGGGGGAUAACACUGAGAAAUCGGUACUAAUACCCCAUAACAUCCAGGGAGGCAUCUUCUUGGGUUGAAAACUCCGGUGGUAAUGGAUGGGCAUGCGUUGUAUUAGUUAGUUGGUGGGGUAACGGCUCACCAAGACAACGAUACAUAGGGGGACUGAGAGGUUAACCCCCCACAUUGGUACUGAGACACGGACCAAACUCCUACGGGAGGCAGCAGUGAGGAAUAUUGGUCAAUGGACGCAAGUCUGAACCAGCCAUGCCGCGUGCAGGAAGACGGCUCUAUGAGUUGUAAACUGCUUUUGUACGAGGGUAAACGCAGAUACGCGUAUCUGUCUGAAAGUAUCGUACGAAUAAGGAUCGGCUAACUCCGUGCCAGCAGCCGCGGUAAUACGGAGGAUUCAAGCGUUAUCCGGAUUUAUUGGGUUUAAAGGGUGCGUAGGCGGUCGGAUAAGUUAGAGGUGAAAUCCCGGGGCUCAACUUCGGAAUUGCCUCUGAUACUGUUCGGCUAGAGAGUAGUUGCGGUAGGCGGAAUGUAUGGUGUAGCGGUGAAAUGCUUAGAGAUCAUACAGAACACCGAUUGCGAAGGCAGCUUACCAAGCUACUUCUGACGUUGAGGCACGAAAGCGUGGGGAGCAAACAGGAUUAGAUACCCUGGUAGUCCACGCAGUAAACGAUGAUAACUCGUUGUCGGCGAUACAGUGUCGGUGACUAAGCGAAAGCGAUAAGUUAUCCACCUGGGGAGUACGUUCGCAAGAAUGAAACUCAAAGGAAUUGACGGGGGCCCGCACAAGCGGAGGAACAUGUGGUUUAAUUCGAUGAUACGCGAGGAACCUUACCCGGGCUUGAAAGUUAGUGACGGAUCUUGAAAGAGGUCUUCCCUUCGGGGCACGAAACUAGGUGCUGCAUGGUUGUCGUCAGCUCGUGCCGUGAGGUGUCGGGUUAAGUCCCAUAACGAGCGCAACCCCUACCGUUAGUUGCCAGCAGGUCAAGCUGGGCACUCUGACGGGACUGCCGGUGUAAGCCGAGAGGAAGGUGGGGAUGACGUCAAAUCAGCACGGCCCUUACGUCCGGGGCUACACACGUGUUACAAUGGCAGGUACAGAGGGCAGCUACCCAGCGAUGGGAUGCGAAUCUCGAAAGCCUGUCUCAGUUCGGAUUGGAGGCUGAAACCCGCCUCCAUGAAGUUGGAUUCGCUAGUAAUCGCGCAUCAGCCAUGGCGCGGUGAAAAGGUUCCCGGGCCUUGUACACACCGCCCGUCAAG
rnacentral:rRNA from 1 species